rnacentral:rRNA from 1 species
GAUGAACGCUGGCGGCGUGCCUAAUACAUGCAAGUCGAGCGAACGGACGAGAAGCUUGCUUCUCUGAUGUUAGCGGCGGACGGGUGAGUAACACGUGGAUAACCUACCUAUAAGACUGGGAUAACUUCGGGAAACCGGAGCUAAUACCGGAUAAUAUUUUGAACCGCAUGGUUCAAAAGUGAAAGACGGUCUUGCUGUCACUUAUAGAUGGAUCCGCGCUGCAUUAGCUAGUUGGUAAGGUAACGGCUUACCAAGGCAACGAUGCAUAGCCGACCUGAGAGGGUGAUCGGCCGCACUGGAACUGAGACACGGUCCAGACUCCUACGGGAGGCAGCAGUAGGGAAUCUUCCGCAAUGGGCGAAAGCCUGACGGAGCAACGCCGCGUGAGUGAUGAAGGUCUUCGGAUCGUAAAACUCUGUUAUUAGGGAAGAACAUAUGUGUGAGUAACUGUGCACAUCUUGACGGUACCUAAUCAGAAAGCCACGGCUAACUACGUGCCAGCAGCCGCGGUAAUACGUAGGUGGCAAGCGUUAUCCGGAAUUAUUGGGCGUAAAGCGCGCGUAGGCGGUUUUUUAAGUCUGAUGUGAAAGCCCACGGCUCAACCGUGGAGGGUCAUUGGAAACUGGAAAACUUGAGUGCAGAAGAGGAAAGUGGAAUUCCAUGUGUAGCGGUGAAAUGCGCAGAGAUAUGGAGGAACACCAGUGGCGAAGGCGACUUUCUGGUCUGUAACUGACGCUGAUGUGCGAAAGCGUGGGGAUCAAACAGGAUUAGAUACCCUGGUAGUCCACGCCGUAAACGAUGAGUGCUAAGUGUUAGGGGGUUUCCGCCCCUUAGUGCUGCAGCUAACGCAUUAAGCACUCCGCCUGGGGAGUACGACCGCAAGGUUGAAACUCAAAGGAAUUGACGGGGACCCGCACAAGCGGUGGAGCAUGUGGUUUAAUUCGAAGCAACGCGAAGAACCUUACCAAAUCUUGACAUCCUUUGACAACUCUAGAGAUAGAGCCUUCCCCUUCGGGGGACAAAGUGACAGGUGGUGCAUGGUUGUCGUCAGCUCGUGUCGUGAGAUGUUGGGUUAAGUCCCGCAACGAGCGCAACCCUUAAGCUUAGUUGCCAUCAUUAAGUUGGGCACUCUAAGUUGACUGCCGGUGACAAACCGGAGGAAGGUGGGGAUGACGUCAAAUCAUCAUGCCCCUUAUGAUUUGGGCUACACACGUGCUACAAUGGACAAUACAAAGGGCAGCGAAACCGCGAGGUCAAGCAAAUCCCAUAAAGUUGUUCUCAGUUCGGAUUGUAGUCUGCAACUCGACUACAUGAAGCUGGAAUCGCUAGUAAUCGUAGAUCAGCAUGCUACGGUGAAUACGUUCCCGGGUCU